UUUGACGGCGUGCCUUUUGCAUAAUGAUCCUACGAGUUGCACCUCACUAGCAAGGUUAAGUACUUAAGUUACGGAGCCGCAGCGAAAGCGAGUCCGAAUAGGGCGAUUUAGUUAGUGGGGGCAGACGCGAAACUUUGUGAUCUAUCCAUGGGCAGGAUGAAGGUGUGGUAACACACACUGGAGGUCCGAACGGGUUAACGUUGAAAAGUUAUCCGAUGACCUGUGGAUAGGGGUGAAAAGCCAAUCAAACAC
rnacentral:rRNA from 1 species